rnacentral:rRNA from 1 species
AGUGAACGCUGGCGGUAGGCCUAACACAUACGAGUCGAACGGCAGCACAGUAAGAGCUUGCUCUUACGGGUGGCGAGUGGCGGACGGGUGAGGAAUACAUCGGAAUCUACUUUUUCGUGGGGGAUAACGUAGGGAAACUUACGCUAAUACCGCAUACGACCUACGGGUGAAAGCAGGGGAUCUUCGGACCUUGCGCGAUUGAAUGAGCCGAUGUCGGAUUAGCUAGUUGGCGGGGUAAAGGCCCACCAAGGCGACGAUCCGUAGCUGGUCUGAGAGGAUGAUCAGCCACACUGGAACUGAGACACGGUCCAGACUCCUACGGGAGGCAGCAGUGGGGAAUAUUGGACAAUGGGCGCAAGCCUGAUCCAGCCAUACCGCGUGGGUGAAGAAGGCCUUCGGGUUGUAAAGCCCUUUUGUUGGGAAAGAAAAGCAGCAGGUUAAUACCCCGCUGUUCUGACGGUACCCAAAGAAUAAGCACCGGCUAACUUCGUG